rnacentral:lncRNA from 1 species
GAAUGAGUCACCGGGCAGGCAUUUCAGCAGCACCUGUGUGGGGUGUGGAGCUGCGGCAGAGGAGGGGAGAGAGGGGCAGGCUGGCCAGGAGGCCAGCUCUGGGGCUGCCCCACUCUCACCCAGGCCGGCUUCCCUAGAUGCCAGCUGUCCCGCAUCUGUCCCGACACUCGUUUUGGCCUCGGGAGGCUGUUUCAUGUGGAAAUCAUUUUCUGUUUAGCUGCUGUCUUCCCAAGCAGACGUAAGUGCCUGAACUGCCCAGGCUCCGUCAUAUGUAACUUUUGGAGUUCAUCGUAGCUGCCACUUUUUCAGCCCCUAAAUAAUGAUGCCCGUUUUGCUCGAUGCCUCGAGUGACGCUCGAGGACUCUGGAAGGGACCUGGCACCGAGAGGGUGCUCAAUAAAUAUUUGUGGAAUGCACGCCUGGGUUCGUUCAGCAGACCUUUCUGAGUGCCUACCCCAGGCCAGGCUCGGUGCUGGGUGCUUGGAACACAGGUGCAUUCCCACUCCUCUUGAAUGUGAGCUAGAAUUUGGUGGAAGAGACGAUGUCUGAUUUCUGAGCCUAGGUCACAAAAGGCAUUAUGCUUCCUCCUUGCUUUCUCUCUCAAGGGUCAUUCGCAGGGGUGAGCCCGCUGUCAUGCUG